AUUGAACGCUGGCGGCAUGCCUUACACAUGCAAGUCGAGCGGAGCGAGGGUGCUUGCACCUUAGCUUAGCGGCGGACGGGUGAGUAAUGCUUAGGAAUCUGCCUAUUAGUGGGGGACAACAUUCCGAAAGGGAUGCUAAUACCGCAUACGCCCUACGGGGGAAAGCAGGGGAUCUUCGGACCUUGCGCUAAUAGAUGAGCCUAAGUCGGAUUAGCUAGUUGGUGGGGUAAAGGCCUACCAAGGCGACGAUCUGUAGCGGGUCUGAGAGGAUGAUCCGCCACACUGGGACUGAGACACGGCCCAGACCCCUACGGGAGGCAGCAGUGGGGAAUAUUGGACAAUGGGCGGAAGCCUGAUCCAGCCAUGCCGCGUGUGUGAAGAAGGCCUUUUGGUUGUAAAGCACUUUAAGCGAGGAGGAGGCUACUAGUAUUAAUACUACUGGAUAGUGGACGUUACUCGCGGAAUAAGCACCGGCUAACUCUGUGCCAGCCGCCGCCGAA
rnacentral:rRNA from 1 species